AAUCGAGGCAGCGAACUGGCCAAACAGCAGCGUCGCGCUUCGUUUCUCUUCUUUCCUCACGAGCGGUCCCCAGCGCCACGUCAUCGUCUUCAAGCCAGGCACGAAGCGUCGGACAGCACACGCACGUAACGCAUAGUCAGUUUCUUCUGUUUACUCCCGAAUUGAUUCCCGGUGAUUUAAGCCACCAUUUAACGAUCCGUUUGUUCCUACUUAAGCUUCACACCCUCCUCUUCAUUUCCCCUCAAACCACACAGACCGAGAGCCUCCAGGCUGCUCGAAUUUGGCCUCGCAAUUCCGCGGUACCGUCGCGGUAAUUCAUCGAUUACGCGACGGCCGUGAGCAAGUCCACGGGACACUUUUCCGGCGGGCGACUGCGCACCAGUAAGAAAGUCCGAACCUAGAACUCAUCAUAGAUUUCAGCUCGUACACACGGACGCCAAAGACCACGCAGAACUCGGUUCACAAACGAUCCCAGCGAGGCAGCGAAGUCAUCUGUUCCCUGUCCCCGUACAUUGUGGUUGUGUUGAUUGCAACGAGUGUUUUCGCGAAGAGUGUACCAACUAGUCCUCUCACCAAGGCAAGUGUCACUUUUUUUUAACUGUCCUGCUGUUUGCUAAAUAUAUUCUAGGAUUUCACUAGUAGUGCAUGUGUAGGAUUAUUUUAUUAUAUACGCUAUGUGUCUUGCUAUGAUUUGAUUUCCCUGUUUCACCGUAAGUAGAGUUUCCUAGUUAUGUGGAUAGAUACGUGGCUGAGAUAUCAUGUCAAUUUUAGAUGAGGUAAAAAGAUAUGUUUUCCAUAAUGAAAACAACUUGGUUCACAAAA